UGCGUAGGCGGAAUUUUAAGUCAGUGGUGAAAUCCUGCAGCUUAACUGUAGAACCGCCAUUGAUACUGAUCUUCUUGAAUUUAGUUGAGGUGGGCGGAACGUGUAAUGUAGCGGUGAAAUGCUUAGAUAUUACACAGAACACCGAUUGCGAAGGCAGCUCACUAAACUAACAUUGACGCUGAGGCACGAAAGCGUGGGUAGCGAACAGGAUUAGAUACCCUGGUAGUCC
rnacentral:rRNA from 1 species